GACGAACGCUGGCGGCGUGCUUAACACAUGCAAGUCGAACGGAAAGGCCCUGCUUUUGUGGGGUGCUCGAGUGGCGAACGGGUGAGUAACACGUGAGUAACCUGCCCUUGACUUUGGGAUAACUUCAGGAAACUGGGGCUAAUACCGGAUAGGAGCUCCUGCUGCAUGGUGGGGGUUGGAAAGUUUCGGCGGGUGGGGAUGGACUCGCGGGUUAUCAGCUUGUUGGUGGGGUAGUGGCUUACCAAGGCUUUGACGGGUAGCCGGCCUGAGAGGGUGACCGGCCACAUUGGGACUGCGAUACGGCCCAGACUCCUACGGGAGGCAGCAGUGGGGAAUAUUGCACAAUGGGCGGAAGCCUGAUGCAGCAACGCCGCGUGCGGGAUGACGGCCUUCGGGUUGUAAACCGCUUUCGCCUGUGACGAAGCGUGAGUGACGGUAAUGGGUAAAGAAGCACCGGCUAACUACGUG
rnacentral:rRNA from 1 species